rnacentral:rRNA from 1 species
UAAGCAUAUCAAUAAGCGGAGGAAAAGAAACUAACAAGGAUUCCCUUAGUAACUGCGAGUGAAGAGGGAAAAGCUCAAAUUUAAAAUCUGGCGGUGUUUCACUGUCCGAGUUGUAACCUAGAGAAGUGUAACCUGUACUGGACCGUGUACAAGUCUCCUGGAAUGGAGCAUCACAGAGGGUGAGAAUCCCGUCUUUGACAUGGACUACCAGUGCAUUGUGGUUGUGCUCUCAACGAGUCGAGUUGUUUGGGAAUGCAGCUCUAAAUGGGUGGUAAAUUCCAUCUAAAGCUAAAUAUUGGCGAGAGACCGAUAGCGAACAAGUACCGUGAGGGAAAGAUGAAAAGAACUUUGGAAAGAGAGUUAAACAGUAUGUGAAAUUGUUGAAAGGGAAACGUUUGAAGUCAGUUGCAUUGGCUGGGGAUCAACCUUACAUUUCUGUUGGGUGUACUUCCUGGUUGAUGGGCCAACAUCAGUUUUGACUGCCAGAAAAAGGCCAAGUGAAUGUGGCACCUUUGGGUGUGUUAUAGCUCUUGGUUGUAUAUGGUGGUUGGGACUGAGGAAUGCAGUGUGCCGAAAGGCCGGGUUUUGACCACGUUCACACUGAGGAUGUUGGCAUAAUGGCUUUAAGCGACCCGU